AACACGCAGGUGAAGCCCAGUGGAACUCAGUGAGCAAUCCAGUGGAGGUACCAGAUGAGGGAGAAUCCACAGCUUGUUCUCCCUUGGUGAUGUUGGGUCUGCAGGACUGAGUGUAGUGGAGAGAAAAGCAAAAUGCAGAUGAACAUUUCAUUUUUAUAAUGAAAGUCAGCUGAUUUAAUUAACAUACCUGGGGAAAUACAUACAUCAAGUGCCUUUCUAUUAUGUAGUCUCCCCAGAGUCAAACUGGAGUGUAGUGAUUCUGGAAUGGAAGAGCUACAAUAGAAGUGGGACAGAAACUCUCCCAAGGUAUCCAGACCUUCACUUUUGUGUUACCACCACCAAGUCCAGAAGAGACAUCAGGAAGUGUCAUCUGACAGCAUCAGCAGAUGUGAACUAAGUUGGAUGGGGUUUUCUGAAGAAGGCAAGGAACUGCAGAAAGGAAAAUUAUGGACUUAUGGUGAAGCCAACUGAAGUGCCUCUGGUGACAAUUGAACAUCUGUCAGUAUCCAGGGAAUAGAAGUGAGGAAAGGGUUUUUUAAGACCUUGGG